rnacentral:rRNA from 1 species
GAUGAACGCUGGCGGCGUGCCUAAUACAUGCAAGUCGAGCGAACAGACGAGGAGCUUGCUUCUCUGACGCUAGCGGCGGACGGGUGAGUAAUACGUGGAUAACCUAUCUAUAAGACUGGGAUAACUUCGGGAAACCGGAGCUAAUACCGGAUAAUAUAUUGAACCGCAUGGUUCAAUAGUGAAAGACGGUUUUGCUGUCACUGAUAGAUGGAUCCACGCCGCAUUAGCUAGUUGGUAAGGUAACGGCUUACCAAGGCAACGCUGCGUAGCCGACCUGAGAGGAUGAUCAGCCACACUGGAACUGAGACACGGUCCAGACUCCUACGGGAGGCAGCAGUAGGGAAUAUUGCGCAAUGGGCGAAAGCCUGACGGAGCAACGCCGCGUGUGUGAUGAAGGUCUUCGGAUCGUAAAGCUCUGUUAUUAGGGAAGAACGAAAGUGUGAGUAACUAUGCACGUCUUGACGGUACCUAAACAGAAAGCCACGGCUAACUACGUG